CCUACGGGCGGCAGCAGUGAGGAAUAUUGGUCAAUGGACGAGAGUCUGAACCAGCCAAGUAGCGUGAAGGAUGACUGCCCUAUGGGUUGUAAACUUCUUUUAUAUGGGAAUAAAAUGUUCCACGUGUGGGAUUUUGUAUGUACCAUAUGAAUAAGGAUCGGCUAACUCCGUGCCAGCAGCCGCGGUAAUACGGAGGAUCCGAGCGUUAUCCGGAUUUAUUGGGUUUAAAGGGAGCGUAGGUGGAUUGUUAAGUCAGUUGUGAAAGUUUGCGGCUUAACCGUUAAAUUGCAGUUGAAACUGGCAGUCUUGAGUACAGUAGAGGUGGGCGGAAUGCGUGGUGUAGCGGUGAAAUGCUUAGAUAUCACGAAGAACUCCGAUUGCGAAGGCAGUUCACUGGACUGCAACUGACGCUGAGGCUCGAAAGUGUGGGUAUCAAACAGGAUUAGAUACCCGAGUAGUC
rnacentral:rRNA from 1 species